rnacentral:rRNA from 1 species
GAUGAACGCUGGCGGCGUGCCUAAUACAUGCAAGUCGAGCGAAUGGAUUAAGAGCUUGCUCUUAUGAAGUUAGCGGCGGACGGGUGAGUAACACGAGGGUAACCUGCCCAUAAGACUGGGAUAACUCCGGGAAACCGGGGCUAAUACCGGAUAACAUUUUGAACCGCAUGGUUCGAAAUUGAAAGGCGGCUUCGGAUGUCACUUAUGGAUGGACCCGCGUCGCAUUAGCUAGUUGGUGAGGUAACGGCUAACCAAGGCAACGAGGCGUAGCCGACCUGAGAGGGUGAUCGGCCACACUGGGACUGAGACACGGCCCGGACUCCUACGGGAGGCAGCAGUAGGGAAUCUUCCGCAAUGGACGAAAGUCUGACGGAGCAACGCCGCGUGAGUGAUGAAGGCUUUCGGGUCGUAAAACUCUGUUGUUAGGGAAGAACAAGUGCUAGUUGAAUAAGCUGACACCUUGACGGUACCUAACCAGAAAGCCACGGCUAACUACGUGCCAGCCGCCGCCGUAA